CUUUGAUGCUGCUCACCUCACCGGUGACUGCGCGAGAUGCGUAGCCGGCUGGGGAUCGCUUUUCAGAAGGACUGCAGCCAACUUUGGGUGGAUGCAGCGGAGCGGAGGUUGCUUUCCCAGUACCACUGGUGCCGGUGUCCCGAGAGCACUCCGCAGCCUGCCGGCUCCCCAGCUCGCUGCACUGAACACCUGGCUUCCUGGGCACAGCAAAAGUCUUCCAAACCCGACACAAGCCCUGGAAAAACAUAGAUGGAAAAACUGAAGCAGAAUAGUUGCAACUGAUGUGCCUGCAGUUGAAGGAUGGGGCCCCAUGU
rnacentral:lncRNA from 1 species